AUGGUCUCCUGCAGCUACCUGAACUUUGCUUCGGUGCUGCAGUUUCUGUGGAGUUUGCCCCUUGCUUGUCUGGAUAUCUUUUCUCUGAGGAAUGAAAAGGAUCUUCAAGCACCGGCUCGUCUAUUGCUCAUUGUUAUCAUUGACUGGGCCGUGGCGGUUCUCAUGUUCUCAGGAGUCUGUGCCGCCGCCUGCCUGACGAUUUUCUUCAUGAAGGAUGUGAACUUCUGUGAGGGGUUCUCGUGGCUGGGAUGCAAUCAGUUCGCGCUUUCGGUCACCCUGGCAUUCAUCACGUGGUCGCUGCAAGCUGCGUCUUCUUUCUCCGGGUUAUGGCUACUGGUCUCGUUCUUCUAG
rnacentral:rRNA from 1 species